rnacentral:rRNA from 1 species
GAGACCCGUACCCACAGUUGCCAGCGGCUGCUCCGGCAGGCUGGGUACACUAUGGGGACCGCCUCUGCUAAAGAGGAGGAAGGAGCGGGCGACGGUAGGUCAGUAUGCCCCGAAUUCUCCGGGCUACACGCGGGCUACAAUGGAUGGGACAAUGGGCUCCGACACCGAAAGGUGAAGGCAAUCUCUUAAACCCAUUCUUAGUUCGGAUUGAGGGCUGAAACUCGCCCUCAUGAAGCUGGAAUCCGUAGUAAUCGCGUUUCAAAAUAGCGCGGUGAAUAC